GGGGAAUAUUGGACAAUGGGCGCAAGCCUGAUCCAGCCAUGCCGCGUGAGUGAUGAAGGCCUUAGGGUUGUAAAGCUCUUUCACCGGUGAAGAUAAUGACGGUAACCGGAGAAGAAGCCCCGGCUAACUUCGUGCCAGCAGCCGCGGUAAUACGAAGGGGGCUAGCGUUGUUCGGAAUUACUGGGCGUAAAGCGCACGUAGGCGGAUUAUUAAGUCAGGGGUGAAAUCCCGCAGCUCAACUGCGGAACUGCCUUUGAUACUGGUAAUCUAGAGACCGAGAGAGGUAAGUGGAACUCCUAGUGUAGAGGUGGAAUUCGUAGAUAUUAGGAAGAACACCAGUGGCGAAGGCGGCUUACUGGCUCGGAACUGACGCUGAGGUGCGAAAGCGUGGGGAGCAAAC
rnacentral:rRNA from 1 species